rnacentral:lncRNA from 1 species
UUGUGACCUUAGUGGUAACAUCUCUUUAGGAUAUUACCAAUAAUAUCACAGGUUGUCCACUGACCGUGAUAUUAGGAGUCCCAUUUUCCUAGGAUAUUAUGGAUAAUAUCACAGGAGGUGUUCACACACAAUGUGUACACCAUGUGUGUACACUCAACGUGAUAUUUGAAGUCAUAUGUCCCUAGGAUCUUACGAAUAUUAUCAAAGGGUGUACACCCCAUGUGACAUUAAAAGUAACAUCCCUUUUGGAUAUU